UUGCUGUGUCAUUUCCGGAAGGAUUAUGGGACGUUGGAGGUCAAGAUUCUCUAAAUGGGGAUUUCUAAGAAGCGAUGAAAUGAGAAAAUGAAAAUGAAGCAGGUGAUGCUGGACUGUGUGAGACGGGAGAGAGGAAACUGAGCAGGAACCAUUGCUUUCUUCUUGCUGAUGCAGACAGAAUGUGACUGGUUACUUCAAACUCUGGCUAUUCUGACCUCCCAGCCAUGAUGGACUGUAGCCUGGCACGUCAUGACGGAUCGUAACCAGAACCUAAAACCUCAAGGGAACAAGAGAGGGACUGACAGUUGCUGAUUGCCUUCCGUGGGACACUCAUUCCGUCACCAGAAAAACUCUUCCGGAGGCUUUAUUUUCCCCAGUAUCACCAGAGUAAUAUUAAAGAAGACACUGCAAAACUGGUAAGGAUGGAUGCUAUAUAUAAAAAGAAACAAGUGCUGGCAAGGAUGUGGAGAAAUUGCAACCCUUGCACGUUGCUGGUGGGCUGCAGAGUGGUGUCGCAGCUGUGGGAUACGGUAUGGUGCCUCCUCCCAAAGCUGAGUGGGGAAUUACCAUAUGAUCUCUGCAUGCAUAUUUAUACUUACUUCAUAUCUAUAUUUAUCUCUCAAAGAAUUUCAAGCCAGGACUCAGCUAAUCAUGUGUCCCUGUGAAAGCUCCAUACUGCCAUUACUUUCUGGGGUUGAAAAGAACCAAGAAGAAAUUCAUUCAUGGGUAAAAUGGCUAAACAAAGUGUCCCAUUCAAUGUAUAGAUUAUUACUCAGCUUCAAAAGGGAAAGUUUUUCUUUCUUUUCUUUUGGGACAGAGUCUCUCCAGAUAGCCCUGGCUAUCCUGGAACUCAUUUUGUAGACCAGGCUGGCUUCAAACUCACAGAGAUCCUUCUGCUUCUGUCUCCCAAGCUCUGGGAGCAAAGGAGUGAGUGCCAACACAUCCGGGUUAUUAUUAUACUUCCUACAACAUGCAUGGGCCUUGAAAACAUUUCAAGUAAGGGAGCCAGAGAGAAAAACAAACACAUGAUUCCAUUUGUAUGGGACGUAUAGAACCAGCAAAUUCAGAGAUAGACACCAGCAGAGAGGCUGCCUGGGUUGAGGGAGGCAGGAAUGGAUACUUACAAGGGUACUGAGUUUCUGUUUGAAUGUGAACAACUUCCGGAAAUCCAUGGUAGUGAUGGCUGUAUAAUACAGCGAGUGUACUCAAUGCUACACCACUAUGUGCUUACCUAGGGGCAAACACACAAACACAGCGUGGUGCUCUGACUCCUGUCAGAUACGCUGAUGUAUUGGUCUGGACUGGGGCCUGGACCUCAGUGACACAUAGUCAAUCAGUGACUUGGGUCUCAGUGUCACCCUGUGACAGCCAGGCAGCUCCUUUGGUCUGCUUGUCUCAGGGCCCUUCUCGGAUCUUCUUCUUUUUACUACUCAGUGGUCCCAUGCAUCUAAGGCAGACUGCCUGCUACACGUGUACAUUUACUACUGGGUUGUAUCUUUAGUCUCACACAUGCGUUCAGAAAAUGACAUCAAGUGUUUUUGUGAUGCUUUGAAUAAAAAUGACACCUGUAGGCUCAUACAUUUGAAUGCUUGAUCACUAAGGAGUGGCACGAUUUGAAAGGAUUAGGAGGUGUGGCCUCCUUGGAGUGGGUGUGGCUUUGUUGGAUGAACUGUCUUACUGGGGGUUGGGCUUUCAGGUUUUAGAAGCCCAAGCCAGGCCCAGAGUUUUUCUUCUUUUCCUGCCUGCGGACUCAGGUGUAGAAUUCUCAGCUACCAUGUCUGUUUGUAUGCCACCCUGUCAUGAUGGCAACGGAUGAACCUCUGAAAUUGUAAGCAAGCGCCAAUUAAAAACUUUCUUUUAUAAGAGUUUUCCAUGGUUAUGGUAUCUCUUUACAGGAAUAGAACACUGACUAAGACAGUCUCCCUUAAUUUCUUUCCACCUGGUUUUCUGUUUUGUAGUUUCAGACAGGGUCUCCCACUGAAACUGGGAAUCGUGGAUUGGCUGAACUGGCUAGGCGGCAAGCUCCCGGAAUUUGCCUGACUCUGUCCUUUUCAUCCAAACAUGGUGGCUAUAGGCACAUGCCACCAUGCCCAACUCUCUCUCUCUCUUUUUUCCCCCCUUCUUUUUUUCAGAGCUGUAGACGGAACCCAGGGCCUUGCGCUUGCUAGGCAAGCGCUCUACCACUGAGCUUAACC